GACGUAGGGCGCGAGCGUUUGUCCGGAAUUAUUGGGCGUAAAGAGCUCGUAGGCGGCUUGUCGCGUCGGACUGUGAAAACCCGUGGCUCAACCAUGCGGUCUGCAGUCGAUACGGGCAGGCUAGAAUUCGGUAGGGAGGACUGGAAUUCCUGGUGUAGCGGUGAAAUGCGCAGAUAUCAGGAGGAACACCGGUGGCGAAGGCGGGUCUCUGGGCCGAUAUUGACGCUGGAGGAAGCG
rnacentral:rRNA from 1 species